rnacentral:rRNA from 1 species
GACGAACGCUGGCGGCGUGCUUAACACAUGCAAGUCGAACGGAAAGGCCCUGCUUUUGUGGGGUGCUCGAGUGGCGAACGGGUGAGUAACACGUGAGUAACCUGCCCUUGACUUUGGGAUAACUUCAGGAAACUGGGGCUAAUACCGGAUAGGAGCUCCUGCUGCAUGGUGGGGGUUGGAAAGUUUCGGCGGUUGGGGAUGGACUCGCGGCUUAUCAGCUUGUUGGUGGGGUAGUGGCUUACCAAGGCUUUGACGGGUAGCCGGCCUGAGAGGGUGACCGGCCACAUUGGGACUGAGAUACGGCCCGGACUCCUACGGGAGGCAGCAGUGGGGAAUAUUGCACAAUGGGCGGAAGCCUGAUGCAGCAACGCCGCGUGCGGGAUGACGGCCUUCGGGUUGUAAACCGCUUUCGCCUGUGACGAAGCGUGAGUGACGGUAAUGGGUAAAGAAGCACCGGCUAACUACGUGCCAGCAGCCGCGGUGAUACGUAGGGUGCGAGCGUUGUCCGGAUUUAUUGGGCGUAAAGGGCUCGUAGGUGGUUGAUCGCGUCGGAAGUGUAAUCUUGGGGCUUAACCCUGAGCGUGCUUUCGAUACGGGUUGACUUGAGGAAGGUAGGGGAGAAUGGAAUUCCUGGUGGAGCGGUGGAAUGCGCAGAUAUCAGGAGGAACACCAGUGGCGAAGGCGGUUCUCUGGGCCUUUCCUGACGCUGAGGAGCGAAAGCGUGGGGAGCGAACAGGCUUAGAUACCCUGGUAGUCCACGCUGUAAACGGUGGGUACUAGGUGUGGGGUCCAUUCCACGGGUUCCGUGCCGUAGCUAACGCUUUAAGUACCCCGCCUGGGGAGUACGGCCGCAAGGCUAAAACUCAAAGGAAUUGACGGGGCCCCGCACAAGCGGCGGAGCAUGCGGAUUAAUUCGAUGCAACGCGUAGAACCUUACCUGGGUUUGACAUGGAUCGGGAGUGCUCAGAGAUGGGUGUGCCUCUUUUGGGGUCGGUUCACAGGUGGUGCAUGUCUGUCGUCAGCUCGUGUCGUGAGAUGUUGGGUUAAGUCCCGCAACGAGCGCAACCCUUGUUCACUGUUGCCAGCACGUUAUGGUGGGGACUCAGUGGAGACCGCCGGGGUCAACUCGGAGGAAGGUGGGGAUGACGUCAAGUCAUCAUGCCCCUUAUGUCCAGGGCUUCACGCAUGCUACAAUGGCUGGUACAGAGAGUGGCGAGCCUGUGAGGGUGAGCGAAUCUCGGAAAGCCGGUCUCAGUUCGGAUUGGGGUCUGCAACUCGACCUCAUGAAGUCGGAGUCGCUAGUAAUCGCAGAUCAGCAACGCUGCGGUGAAUAAGUUCCCGGGGCU